rnacentral:tRNA from 1 species
UGGCUCAGACGAAAAGCGUCUGCCUGAAAUGCAGGAGACCCGGGUUCAAUUCCUGG